rnacentral:rRNA from 1 species
UAGCCGUAAACGAUACUCGCUAGGUGUCGGCCACGGUGCGACCGUUGUCGGUGCCGUAGGGAAGCCGUGAAGCGAGCCACCUGGGAGUACGGCCGCAAGGCUGAAACUUAAAGGAAUUGGCGGGGGAGCACAACAACGGGUGGAGCUUGCGGUUUAAUUGGAUUCAACGCCGGAAAUCUUACCGGGACCGACAGCAACAUGAAGGCCAAGCUGAAGACUUUGCCGGAUUAGCUGAGAGGAGGUGCAUGGCGUAGUCGUGU